CUCUUAUAAAGAGCAGGUGGAGGGACGAGCCCGUUGAAGCCCGGCAACCUGUUUCAGUCGCUAGACUGAUUCAAGGUGCUAAUUCUCUCGCGCAUUGUGCGUGGCAGAUAAGAG
rnacentral:ncRNA from 2 species